rnacentral:lncRNA from 1 species
ACACUACAGUCAGAUAUCAAUAUUUCUGUGCCAUCUCCUGUCUGCUACCCAUCUUCCUUCCAUGCUCUAUUUUGGGUUGGUGUAUGGAUUUAUGAACUCAGUUUUCACUAACUCCAACACCCUACCAACUUAACUCUCUAAGCCCUUCAAUUCAAUGUACUUUCUCUCUGGUGGUAUUGCAUUUAUUAUCACCUCUUCUUCAUCCAAAGUCUUGAUGUCUUAAUUUCCCAAGACUAUAAUUUCUGAUAUAUUAAAAAUAAAAAAUAAAUAUUUUCAGAAGUUAAAUAAAUCUGUCUAAGAAACUUGGCAACAACUAACAAUUGCUUCCCUGGAGGAGUCAUCCUCCUGGUCUCAAGCAAGAACUUGAAAGAUUCUUUCCAUAACCCAUCCAAGAGUAUUUUUGAAGAAGGGCCCAAGAAUCCUUACUAACCUAUGCUUAGGUGAUCACUCACUGUCACUCUACUAGAUGAAAGUAAUUUAAUUUGUAACAGUAUUUUCAAGGUGGUAUCUGGGACUCUGAAGAGGGAAUUUCAGACACCUCUGUCUAUGGGAUCCAUGAGAUGGGCAUAUGGCUAUGGCCAAGUGCAGAAACCAAGAGAAGUUAUCUUAAAUAUGUAUAACAUAGGGUACCUACCUCUAGGGUUGGUGUCAGGAUUACAUGAGGUAAUCCUGAAAUGAUGAUAUAUUAGAAAUAUGCAGAGGUUAUGUAUGUAACGUAAUUAAAGGACACCAUCUACGCUCUUCUAGUUUUAAAAUUCUAUAAUUCUAAUGUUUUCCUAUGGUUAUAGAAAUUUUAAGCCCAUACACAUUUCUGAAGUACUUAAUGGCAUAAGGUUAUUGGGCUGUGUGUCAUGCCAUCCUUUAGACAUGUUGCAAAACACUGAUGUGGUCAUCAUUUAUUCCUCAUUAACAACUUGUGGUGCACAAAUGACAUGAAUUGCAAUGUUGUAAACAUCUUAUCGAGAACAUUUUCACAUUUUACAAUUAAGUAGACCAGUGACAACAAGAGUUUAAAAUACUUAUUUUGAGUUUUACAAUUAUGACAAUAGUGAGUUAUAAUUAGCAAUGAAAUCAUCUGCCAUCAUAAUCAUACAUUUCUCUUCCUAUGUACCUUCGCCCUUUUUUACACCAACCUCUUUAUAAAAUAGCUCAUUUCUAUACAAAUUUGCCACAGAACAUUUCAGGAUGCCAGAAUUGGAAGGAAAGCUAAGGAUACUUUAACUUUAUAGAUAAGGAAAUUGAAGAUCAAAUGUACACAAAGAUACAAAGCUCUUGCUAAGUUAUAGCCAGUUUGAGCUCAAAUGUCAAGAGUGUGAUCUUUCACCACACCAUCAAAGUUCUAUUCAGGAGUAAACUCAACGUUUGAAGAAAAAUCUGAUUUUAUUAAUACUAUAAAAUAUGGUUGGUGUCACGGUCUGCCAUAAAAUAGUGCGUUUUUUUAAGAACUGUUGAUCACACUACCUCACUGGGUGAUGUGAUAACCAAACAGGCAAUUACAACGUGGGAAGCCAGGAAGUAUCUUAGAGUAUGCCUAAAUUUGAACAUUCUACAUAAAGAAACCCAAUGAGUAACUAAUGAAAAACAAAUAUAGGCUAGAAGACUCAAAGUUAAAAUUCACCUUUUUCAUUCUCACUGCUAAAUAUUUCUGGUGAGAUGAGUAUAGUCUCACCUUUAGAUUAUACGCAUCCCAUUAAAAAGCCAGUAAUCAGAGACAUGGUUUACACAAUGAAUCAGGCGUACAUUUUAGAGGAAAAAUGCAUAAGCUUUUUCACUCACUCUCACAGUUAUAGAGUUUUUAAAAAUUCCAGCAUCACACUUGAUGGUUGAUACUGCAAUUUCUUGAUUUUGUAAAAUAACUCAAUAAUGGAUCUUUUGCAUGUCCUAUAUGCAGUCUUAUCUUCUGAAUACUAAUAUAAAUGAUUCCAUCAUGUUACUGUCAUUACCCUGCAUUAUGACGGAAUGUGUCCUGUACAUUGUUGUUUCCCAGGUCCAUUUUAAUGAAAGUCUGUCAAUGAGCUGGGAUUCAAGUGUUUGUCUGUCAGCUCACUGUCAAAGAGAAAAUGCUAGGGGAAUUUCAGAAGAACUGGCAGCAGAAUUUUGGCCAGGGUCACUUAGUUUUGUGUGCCACAUGCAGCUUACAACCAAACCUACAAUUUCCUUUGUGAAUAGGCUUGCUUAGAGAGCUCACCUUAAAACUUUCUUAUCCUCUUCUGAAGAUUUUCAUUUCAGGACUUUUUUCUUUCGUGUUUAUAGAAAUCACUCUAUGAAUUAUUACUGAUCCGCUUUGUCCUGCUGAAAGCCUAUCUCUAUUGCUCCCUUCUGAUGCUGUUCUACUCUUCUUUUAAAAGUAGCUGUCAUUUCUAAUCAUAUAAAUGUAUCUGGGAUAUUAUGCAAAAAUUACACUUAUUGAACUAAUUCAACUCCAGGUGGGCUGUCAAUUGAGGAAGAUUAUCAGAAUUAUCUACAGAUUAAGUUAUCACUAUGAUUUAUUACAUGAAGGUUAAAAAACAUACAGUCAAAAGCUUAUGGCUGGCUUUCCCAGAGAUAUACAAUUUAUAUCACAUAAGAGGGCUAGAUGCUUACUAUUGGAUGUCUGGAUUUUUAUUUUUCCUGGCUCUGUUGGCUACCAUCCCAAGACAAUUUCUUCUAAUGGUUGUCUUUAGGGUUGGGGAGGGAAAGGGAAAGGCUAUGCCUUCUGUUAUUGAUGCUGAAUGAAUGAACAUCAAGAAUCACGAAUCAGGAGUUUUAAAUAAAUUAUGUAACAGUACAACGACCGAUGAAUAGUCCCAAUGGCCAUAGCUGCCCAAGUAAUGAACAGACAGUAAAAUGCUAAGUAUAGGGUAGGAAGCAAGGGAAAGUUAUGGGAAAGUUAUGUCAAAAUGAGUACUCUGUGUCAUCGCCUUGAUUCUAAGGAAGAUUAAGCAAAAAUAAAUCCAAAAUGGAAACAUUUUCAAGUGAAAAGCCUCGCCUCAUUAGUCCAAAUCAGGUAUCUAAACUGGGAAAGGAUAAAUCCUGUCACAUUUUGGACGUGUUAAAUGUCUGGAAAUAUUUUCAAAUGAAAGAUCUUUCCAAAAUUCAAGGCAAGAAACUGCCAGUCAGUUUUAUCUUUAAUUUUAAAAAUAUCUGAGUAAUGUAGACAUACAUUGAUUCCUAUGCUUUCAGGUUAUUUUAAAGCCAUCUGAUUAAAACUUUGCUUGUUGGGAAUUUUUCAAGAAGACAGCUUUAAAAGGUUUCCGAUUCAAUUAAAUAAACAGUGAAUUUAGCUAUUCUAUUUUGAAAAGUUUCUACUCAAGGCUACAUUGGUCAUCAGGUAUACAACUGUUUCUUUACUCUUAUGAAUAUUUAUCUGAAGAUACCAAUGACAUGUGAUGCAAACAUUCCACCAUAUGUUACAAAUGAAGGGUUUUAUAGGACAUACUCUUUUGUGAUAAUUAAUGAAAAUUAAACAAUUCAGAAAAUGAUAUUGAUCUUGCUAAAAUACCAGCUAUCUUAUUUUUGAUAAGGUCUUGAUGUAGUCUAGCCAGGAAGUCACUUAUUGAUUUUAUCCAUGGGAAUAUGUGAUAAAGAAGAUAGGGAAAUUGACUGAGUACCUAUUAUAUGCUAACAAUAUUCUCAAUUCUUUCAACAUAUUUAUAGUCCAUUGUUUUGUUUAUUGAAUAAAGCUUUAUAACCCCUCUUUGUUCUUCUGGUGUAUUGUGUUUUAAUUUUUCUAAUGUUUAAAAUAGCUUUUAAUGAUUGCAAGUAAGCUCUCUUGGGCUAUAAGUUAGAAGCUGGGUCUACCUUUUAUCUUUUUAUUUUUUUGUCUUUUUAGGGCCACACCCAAGGCAUAUGGAGGUUCCUAAGCUAGGGGUCAAAUCGGAGCUGUAGCUGCUGCCCUACACUAUGGCCACAACAACGCUGGAUCUGAGCUGUGACUGCGACCUACACCACAGCUCAUGGUAACGCUGGAUCCUUAACCCACUUAGUAAGGCCAGGGAUUGAACCUGUGUCCUCAUGGAUGCUAGCCAGAUUUGUUUCCACUGAGCCAUGAUGGGAACUCCUAGGUCUGCCUUUUAAUGUAGCUUCAUAUUUCUUAUAGUUGGCAGACAUUCCUCUAGGGUUCUGGAAUUCUGUUUUCAUUCCGUUUUCAUUUCUAUAAUUCGUUUUUAUCUAUUUCUGAUUUUCUAUAUGAGUGGGAAAUUGGCAGUGCUUCAAGAGGAGCUGCUGGCUAACAUGAUAUUGUACCACGGGUGCUGGAAAAUUCUUCUGGGACUUGGGAACAUAUGCAAGAGCAAGAAGGACUGAGAACUAAUGUGGGAGAGUGGCAAGGGGUUUAAUAUAAUGAGAACAACUUGUUUGUACUCUGUAGAGGGCUUACUUUUAAAUUCAAUAUUUAUAUAUGUUUUUAAAUAGGAAAAUUCACAUAGUUUAACAAUUAAUAUUUACACGGUUCAAAAUGGAGUUAUGCAGAAAAACUUUCCCUCUUCACCUUUGCUCUAUCAAACCAUUUCAUUACCUGGUCAUACAGGUAGCUCUUAUUAUUUUUUUUAAUAUCCUAAAUAUUUUCCCCAAAUUUUCCAGACAUAUAUAAAAGAAAAUACAAAGAUGCCUUUUUUCCCCUCUGCCUUCUUAACACAAUUACAUUUCUCUGUUUUAGAAUUAGCUUCUCUACUUGGAUUUCAUUUUGCAUAUUAAAUAUGAAGACUUUUCUUUUUUUUUGUUUACUUUAAUGCAAUAUAUUAGCCUAGUUCCCUAUAUAGCAUACAUUUAAAAAGGUGUUAGGGAGUUCCCCUUGUGACCCAGUAGUAACAAACUUGGCUGGUAUCCAUGAAGAUGUGGGCUUGAUCCCUGGCCUUGCUCAGUGGGUUAACCAUUCGGCAUUGCCAUGAGCUAUGGUAUAGGUCACUGACAUGGCUUGGAUCCCACAUUGCUGUGGCUGUGGUGUAGGCUGGCAGCCACUGGCUCCAAUUCUACCCCUAGCCUGGGAACUUCCAUAUGCCACAGGUGUAGUCCUAAAAAGACAGAAGAAAAAUAAGUUAAUAUUUUUCUAUUACACAAAAUGCUUUAAUGAAUAUACUUAACACUUGAAUAUACAUAAUUUUGUGGACGUACUAGAAUAUCUGAAGUGUUUUAGAGAAAUGGAAUUGCAGAGACAAAGGGCACACAAAUUUAUAAUUUUGAUAGAUCUUGCUAAAUUUUCCUUCAUAGAGAUUGUAUUAAUAUAUAUAUUCUUACCACCACGUAAUGAGACUGUUCCCUACCUCCUUGACAAUAAAGUUGUUAUCAAGCUCAGGUCUUUACUGAAUCCCUAUAUAUUUGGAUUUUACUCUUCACUUAUUGUGCUUCCUUUCACAUUGAAAAGCCCUUCAUGUCUUCCUUAUAAUGAACUGUUUGUUAAUAUCCUUUGCUCAUAAUUCUACUGGCCAUUUUCAUAUCCACUUAUAGGCACACAUAUUAGGAAGACUAGUAGUUUUUUCUACUCUGUUAAUUGUAAAUAUUUUCCUACUUUAUCAUUUGCCUUAUGAGUCUAUUUAUUAUAGUGUUUGCCCUAAGGUUAGAGCUUAGGUUUUGUGAUACAAUUUAUAAAUCAUCUCUUUUAUUCCAAUCUCUUGGAAUUUAUGUCAUAGUUAAAAAUGCUUCUUCACUCGGAAAUGUAAAAUAAUAUCCCUAAAUUUUCUUCUAGUAUUACAUGGUUUUUCUUCUACAUUUAUAUCUUUGACUAUUUGGAAGUUAUCAGGUUAUAAGGUGUAAAGUAUGGAUCCAAUUUUGUUUUUCUGAAAUGGCUAUGGUGUUGUUCUAAUAUCAUUUAUUGGGCAAGCGAUUAGAUUUCUGUGAUUUGAGAUGCUACCUUUUGUUUAUUAACUCAAUUCAUUCAACAAAUAGUUACAAGCUAACGGUACCAGACUUUGCCCUAGGAGCUGGUAACUCAUCAGGGCAUAAAACAUGCAAAACUGUGCCCUCAGAGAGUUUUGUUUUGUUUUGCCACGCCCAGAGCAUGCAGAAGUUCCCAGCCAGGGACUGAAACCACACCACAGCAGUGACAAUGCUGAAUCCUUAAGCAAUAGGCUACCAGGGAACUCCAGAGAGCUUAUGUUUUAAAGGAGGUGGAGUUCCUGUUGUGUCUCAAUAGGUUAAAAACUCAAUAGUGUCCAUGAGGAUGUGGGUUCAAUCCCUGGCCUCGCUCAUUGGGUUAAAGAUCCAGCAUUGCUGCAAACUGUGGUGUAGGCUGCAGAUGCAGCUUGGAUC